UUAAAGUUUUAUUCUUGCUAUAAUAUUUAUUAUAUGAUUGUAUCACAUAUUAAUUUUUGUAUUUUAAUAUUUAAAUAUUGAAUUAUUAGUGAUUGACAUUACUUUUUAACGAAAGUUAUAAGUAGUAAUUUAUAUAUUUCCGGUCAAAGUCGUGCCAGCCACCGCGGUUAUACGUGAGGAGAAAGUAAAUGUUUUUGGUUAACAGUUAAAUUGUAAUUUUCUUUAAAUUUAAUUAUUAUUAGGUGAAAUUUUAAAUUUAUUAUAAAAGAUACUUAUUGAAGCUGUGAAAUUUAAUUUAUAAACAAGGAUUAGAUACCCUUCUAUUUUAAAUGUAAAUAUUAACCUGGGUAGUAAUAGUUAUGUUCUUGAAACCCAAAGAAUUUGGCGGUAUUUUAUUCCUUUUAGAGGAACCUGUCCUGUAAUUGAUAGUCCACGAGGUUGAAGUACUUAUUUUUGUUUUCAUUUUGUAUACCUCCGUCAUAAGAGUAUCUUUUUAGAGUUAAUAUUCUAUUAAUACAAAAUAUAAUAUGUCAGGUCAAGGUGCAAUUUAUGAAUAAGUAGAGAUGGGUUACAAUAAAAUUAUUUAUAUGGAUUAUUAUUUUUAAUUGAUAUUAUGAAGGUGGAUUUAAAAGUAAAAUUAUUAUCUUAAUAAUUUGAUUUUGGCUCUAAAAUAUGCACACAUCGCCCGUCGCUCUUAUUUUAAAAUAAGAUAAGUCGUAACAUAGUAGGAGUACCGGAAGGUGUUCCUAGAAAGUA
rnacentral:ncRNA from 1 species